CCCCUAACUUGGUGCCCAGAGUUCUAAGGGUAAAAGGUCGUCAUAGAUGAGAACAGCAACACCAUCUGUUCACUCUGUGUUCUCUGUGCCCAGUGUUGUGUGAAACUUUCUAUCCAAUAUCUUGCAAAAUCCUUACAGCAACCCUAUAAGGGUUGGGUCGGGGCCUUCCAAUCUCUAUAGGUUUUACUGCUUCCAAAGACCUGGCAUACUCCUGGUUUGUGAUGAUCAAGUUCUGGGUCAGAGCAGGGAGAAGCAGCCCAUGAGGCCGGUGAAAUGGUGCCCAAUGGAGGGGAAGGCCCUGGCUUGUGAUCUUGGGCAAGUCCCUCCUCAUACCCAGCUUCAGCUUCUCCUCUAUAAAAUGGCUCUAGGAUGCAGCAGUGAACAAAACAGACGAGUCUACAGAGUUGACAUGACAUGCAGGGGCCAUGGAGAAGGCGAGAACUGUGGAAACGUCGUUGUUGAGUAUGUCAAAUGGUGAUGUGUGCUGUAAAGAAGGAGUGAAGCUGGACUCAGAGCGGACAGGAAGACAGGGGUAGGGGUAGGUCUGGGCUUUUGUACAGGGUGAUCUGAGAAGGCCACUUUGACAAGGUGAUAUGUAAAGUGAGGACACAAGCCCUGUGACUAUGUGGGCACAACUCUCCUAGGAAAAGGGAGCAGCAAAGUGCAUGGACCCCAAAGCAGGAAUGAAUAUGCUCAGUGCGUCCAAGGAAGAGCCGGGACCAGCAGAGCUCAAGUGGAGUGAGCGUGGGGAAAGAGCGGACCCGGUCAGAGGGGUGCUGGGGACCAGACAACGUCACGCGUCAUGGCCAUCGCUAAGGAUUUGGGGUUUUACUUUGCAUGAGAUGAAAAGCCACAGGAGGGUUUUGAAUAGAGGAGUAGAAUGAUUUGACUUGAGUUUUUAAAAGGUUUACUCCAGCUGCUUGGUGGAGAGUGGAUGGUGCAGGUGAGGGCAGAGGCAGGGAAACCAGUUAGGAGGCUGCUGCAGCGACGUGGGAGAGGACUGUGGGUGGUUUGGGCCAUAUUAGAAGCAGUGGUAAGAAACACUGAGCUCUGGAUGUGUUCUGAAGGUAUGCCAACGUGAUUUACUAACCGAUCCAUGAAGGGCAUGAGAGGAAGAGAGCAAUCAAAAAUGACCCCCAGGGUUUUUGUCUGAGCAUCUGGAGUUGCCCUUAUUUGAGAGUUAGAAGACCAAGAGGGCCGGGUGUAGUGGCUCACGUCUGUAAUCCCGGCACUUUGGGAGGCCGAGGCAGGUGGAUCACUUGAGGUCAAGAGUU
rnacentral:lncRNA from 1 species